UUGGCAGCAUAAGAAAAAGAAGAAAAAAAGUGCAUAGAAUUCUGCCUUGAACAUCACUGUCCACGGGCUGCCUUCAAAAGACAGAAGGGCUCUACCACGGAAUGCCUGUUUCAGAUUUAAAAAAUAACCUGCUGAGAUAUGCUGGCAGGGCUUCCUUCAGCAGCCACAAGAAGCUUCUCAGGUGAGAAGAAACCCACUGCUGUUAGCACUAUAGAUUUCUUUAAGGUCACAGGCCUCUUCCAAUUAGGGGUAUCAUCCAUCUCUGGUGGCCUUUCCCUCCUGAAGCUGGGGAAAUAUUUCCUCCCCCUCCAACCCAUUUACCACCCGCUCCAUAUAACCGCCUUGAAGACCUCUUUGGGCUUGAAGAAUAACUUAAGACAGUUUUCCUAUUGAGUGCUGAACAUUUGCCUCCCCCUCCCCCUCCAGCCUGUCACUCUUUCCGGGCUUGUGACUGCUUCAGAAUUGUGAACUUCAAAUUUCCCCACUGUUUUGUUGAUCCUGGGCUUUUGAUUCAAGGGCCUGUCUGGCAGGAGAUGGCCUAAGCACAUCAGCAAUAGCAGAUGACAAAUGCCAAAACAGAAAGAAAAUAGGAUACAAAUGAUUUCCUCCUACAUAUUUACAUUUACCUGCUCCAGAGAUUGUGCAUUUGGGGUUCUACCCGUUAUUAAGUAGGAGCCUACGUUAUGCCUAUAAUGACCUCAUCAUGCUGCGUGAUUAUGGGCUGCAGCCGCCAAACACUUUCAGACGACACUGUGAACUUUAAAUUGGCACUCCAAUCUCCCAGUGGCCUGUCAGUCAUGAGAAUCGCGUCUUUAUGCCAGCAAGCCCCUUGGAUGGAGUCUGACAUUGCAAUCUUCAGUAAAUUACCCUGUCACUGACAAUCUUGCAGUUAUCUCGCAAACAAUCAAGCAGGCAAUCAAACUGUUCUGAAUUGCCAGUUCAGGACCUGAGAGGUGGCCGAUGUCUCCAUUCAACAGCAGAGGGAAAGCGGCCUGGCCCUCCUAUGACAAUGGACGAUUUCUUUAUUUAUUUAUCUACCUACUUAUUUGUUAGUCUGGUUGGCUUUUUCCUGGGGAAGGGGGUGAGGAUGGUAGGAGAGGUUUGCAGAGUCCUCAAAAAGGGCCCAAUACUGACUCAGCGGUUAUGGGAAAGCGACUUAGGCCUUCUGAAUCAGCCCACACUGCGGUGGCUCAUGUCUGCUUAAUCUUACUUCACUCAGUGAAACGGGGCCAAAAAGAAUUAUCUAGGUGUUUUCUGUCAGAACGGACGCUAAAUCACAGCUCUGGUUCUAGUCUACUCAUACACGUCAUAAGCUAAUUGUAAUGACAAUUUCAGAGAAAUGUGAUCAUGGAGAAACUUUCUGGGAAUGAUACCAAGGCAUUCUAUUUAUUGCUUUUGAUAAAGCAAAUCAGAGAGAUUCUUCCAUAACAGUUCUGGCAACGUGAAACAGGUUCAUUAAUGCUGAAUUGAAACCUUUGGAUUAGAAGUCCCAAGGUAAAAAGCCAAAAAUUCUACACAGCAUCAGAGGUGACAGCCUGGCCUCUGGAAUCAGAUGGAUUUGGGUUUGAAGCUCGUCUCUGCUAGUUCCCUGGCUGUGUGAGCUUGGAAAGGAGGGGUGACGCUUCCUUCCCCAAGGAAGUCUGAAGACAAGGCAGUGGACACCCAUCAACAGGGCAAGCUGUAGUUUGGGAGGUCGGAGUUCACCCAAGAACAAUCUGCAGCUGCCUCUGCCUUUCCUCUUGUUUUAAAGGAGGAUUAUGAGGCUUGCAUACCUACUGCACCAACCCAUACGAAGUCAAUGAACAGGAUGAGGCCAAGUCAAUAAUACAGAUGAAGAGCAGUACAACCAUGUCUUCAUGCCUUACUGAAAAGCAAAGAUGUAUUUUAUAUCUGGAUUUUCUUUGCACUGAUAAAACGAUAUCAGCGGUAUAUAGUGACUUGGGUGUCACUGUAUGCAUGUUUUUUGAAAUCCUAAAAUGAAAUGUAUUUAUCUCCCAAUCAUCUAUUGAAUAAAAGGAAAGAGAAAAUGAAUGAAUGGGAGCUCUGUAAACCACAUCAGCAACCUCGAAAAUGUCCAACUGCAAAGACCCAUGUCUACAAAUUGCUGUCAGCCAGAGGAAUGGCUGUAACUUCCUUGGUGCCGAGAGAUGGGAUUUCACUAUGUUGGCCAGACUGGUCUCGAACUCCUGACCUCGUGAUCCGCCCGCCUUGGCCUCCUGAAGUGCUGGAACUAUAGGCGUGAGCCACCGUGCCCGGUCAAGAUAAUUUCUUAUAGGACAACAGGACAGGAUCACCCAGGAAAAGAUGGACUCCCUGCUCAGUUCCUACUUACAGUAUCUGAGUCACUUAACUAAAUGCAAUCGGCCCAGCUGCAGGCACCACUGCUCGGGCCACUAUAAGAACCAGCCCCUGAGCUUCCGGACAGGAAACAGCAUCUGCAUUUCCAGACUGUAGCAGCUCAUCAUGCCAGGCUCCACAGGCAAGAAUCAAGCAGAUGGAAGCUACAGAGGAAACAAACAGGGU
rnacentral:lncRNA from 1 species